rnacentral:tRNA from 1 species
AGGAAAUGUGCCCGAAAGAAAAGGUCCACUUUGAUAGAGUGGUGUAUAGAGGUUAAAACCCUCUCAUCUCCUA